CCCAGUAACGGCGAGUGAAGCGGCAACAGCUCAAAUUUGAAAUCUGGCCCCCAGGGCCCGAGUUGUAAUUUGCAGAGGAUGCUUUUGGCGCGGUGCCUUCCGAGUUCCCUGGAACGGGACGCCAUAGAGGGUGAGAGCCCCGUCUGGUCGGACACCAAGCCAGUGUAAAGCUCCUUCGACGAGUCGAGUAGUUUGGGAAUGCUGCUCUAAAUGGGAGGUAUAUGUCUUCUAAAGCUAAAUACCGGCCAGAGACCGAUAGCGCACAAGUAGAGUGAUCGAAAGAUGAAAAGCACUUUGAAAAGAGGGUUAAACAGUACGUGAAAUUGUUGAAAGGGAAGCGUUUGUGACCAGACUUGGGCCCGGUGAAUCAUCCAGCGUUCUCGCUGGUGCACUUCGCCGGGCCCAGGCCAGCAUCAGUUCGCCGCGGGGGAUAAAAGCUUCGGGGAACGUGGCUCCCUCGGGAGUGUUAUAGCCCGUUGCAUAAUACCCUGCGGCGGACUGAGGUUCGCGCUCCGCAAGGAUGCUGGCGUAAUGGUCAUCAGCGACCCGUCUUGAAACACGGACCAAGGAGUCGUCUUCGUAUGCGAGUGUUCGGGUGUCAAACCCCUACGCGUAAUGAAAGUGAACGCAGGUGAGAGCUUCGGCGCAUCAUCGACCGAUCCUGAUGUUCUCGGAUG
rnacentral:rRNA from 1 species